CGGCGGUGCCAGGCGCGGAGGGAGCCGCGCACUCCCCAGCCCCCGCCCCCCUGCGCGGCCGGGGGACGGCGGAGGCGGUGCCGGGGCGGGGAGCGCCCCCCGGGCAGGGGAGGCCGGGCCGGGCGACAGCUGCGAGCCGUGGGGCGCCGGGCGGGGCGGGCGCUGAGGAGGCAGCCGGCGGCCGCGCAGCCCGCCCCGGCUUGCCCAGGCGGCGCGGCCCUGAGGCGAUGGAGCAGGAGAAGUACCUGCCCGAGCUGAUGGCCGAGAAGGACAGCCUGGAUCCCUCCUUUGUGCACGCCAUGCGCCUUCUGGCCGACGAAAUUGAAAAAUUUCAGGGUUCUGAAGGAAAGAAGGAAGAUGAGGAAAAGAAAUACCUUGAUGUUAUCAGCAACAAGAACAUAAAGUUGUCAGAGAGAGUUCUGAUCCCUGUCAAACAAUACCCAAAGUUCAAUUUUGUUGGGAAAUUGCUUGGACCAAGAGGGAACUCCUUGAAGAGGUUACAAGAAGAAACAGGUGCAAAAAUGUCUAUCCUGGGAAAAGGCUCCAUGAGGGAUAAAGCUAAGGAGGAAGAACUGAGGAAAAGUGGAGAAGCUAAAUAUGUGCACUUGAGUGAUGAGCUUCAUGUAUUAAUUGAAGUGUUUGCUCCACCUGGGGAAGCAUAUUCACGUAUGAGUCAUGCCUUGGAAGAAAUAAAAAAAUUCCUCGUUCCUGAUUAUAAUGAUGAAAUUCGUCAGGAGCAACUGAGAGAGCUGUCAUAUUUGAAUGGUUCCGAGGAUUCAGCACGUGGACGGGGUAUUCGAGGAAGAGGGAUCCGUGUGCCACCUGCAGCUCCUUCAAGGGGCCGUGGGGGUGCGAUUCCUCCGCCCCUCCCUGGACGAGGUGCCCAAGCACCCAGAGGAGCACCAGUGACUCGUGGAGCUCUCCCCGUCCCACCUGUAGCAAGAGGUGUUCCCACACCUCGAGCAAGGGGGGCCCCAGCGGUACCAGGCUACAGACCACCCCCACCACCUGCACAUGAGGCAUAUGAAGGAUAUGGAUAUGAUGAUGGAUAUGGGGGUGAAUAUGAUGAUCCAAGCUAUGAGACAUAUGAUAACAGUUAUGCCACCCAAACACAAAGUGUGCCUGAAUAUUAUGACUAUGGUCACGGAACAAGUGAAGAGGCUUAUGACAGCUACGCACAAGAAGAAUGGGCCACAACCCGUUCCAGCCUAAAGGCACCUCCUCCAAGGUCAGCUCGAGGUGCUUACAGGGAACACCCCUAUGGUAGAUAUUGAAGGUCCUCCUCAUCUGUGACCUCAACUCAAAGACAAUUAAUAGCCUGUGGUCUCCGCAUAAACAGCAACAAGACAAGGCUCUGGACAGCUAAGCAGCCAAUCUGCUGAGAAGUGCUCAGGUAAGCUCUUCCACAUCUCAGGGUUUUUUCCUAUUUCAUGUUUUAUCUGUGCAUUUCUCUGUACUAACACAUGGAAACAUGUUCAGCUCAAGUUUUACAACAAAUAAUAAUUUCCAGCAGCGUUUCCUCACGUAACAGCACAACAGUAUAAUGGUAAUCAAAGCAUUUGCUUCUGUAAGGUAAAAUAUCUUUCAGUCAAAUAGAAGUCUUGUACUCAGAUGUUUUGAUCGUGAAUAUUAACAUGGUACAGCUGCUCCUGCUAAAAACAAGAAAUCAUGUCUAUAAAAAUGUAUUUAGAUUUUGGUAACAAAUUAGUCACAGAUGUAGAAAAAUGUAGUACUGUCUUGCUUGUUUCUCCAAAUACUUUCUGUGACAGAAAUAGCUGUAGAUAUAUUUCUUCUUUUGCUUAGUAAUUAUUUCUUUGUUACACUUCAGAAUGGCAGAUACCAUAAUAGCCUUACACAGCAAGGACAUGAAUCAAGGCAAAAUUCACUGUAUUUCAUUGAUACAAAUACCUAAUGAUUAAAGUGUUUGUUUCUAUUACAACCGUGUCACACACAAACUUCAGAUUUUUUGUAAGAUUUUCAGUUGAGAACAAAUGUGUUAGACAAAUUGUUGAGACAAAUUGUGUUAGAAACACAAAAAAAGUCAGCUUGGAUAUGAAUUCAUCUAAGCUGACUUCACCCAGAAGUGUCCACCAAAUCACAACACAAAAUGCUCAAAUUUUCUUAGUCUGACAUGAUUGUUAAGCUAGAUAAGAGUUAAUAAAAAAAAACAGAUGCUGUUCACUAAAUACACAAACCAAACACGUGUAUCACCCUGGCAUCUUUGUCUGUGUUUGGGGUCUGGCUGAUGUAACAUUUUCAGCUAUCAAGUGUAUUCAGUGGUUACUUAUCAGCACAGGUUGCAUUGUCUAGCAUGAUAGAUUUUCCUCUCCAGUGGGCUGCCUCAAGACCUUGACAAGUUUGAUUUACGUAGUACAGCUGCUUUACAGGCCAAGGUGAUGUGACUGCAUGCUACGGUUGCUUCAGUUUGAGUGUGCCACUACAGUAAAAUGCUUCCACCUACCCGCCUUUCAUAGAAUUAUACAAAUGUGCUUCAGUCACUGUAUGUUAUAUCUAUAGAUAGGAAAAACACAUUCAUCUAUUAUAUGCGCGAUUUCAUACUGAUAUAACAAAUAAUAGAUUAUUAUAUGCCACAGAUUUUGCUGUAUUUCAGGAAAAGCUCAUAUGCCUUACUAAAAUAUGUGAAAACUCUGAGCUGCCAUAACUGAUGUAACUGAGAUCCAGGAGUAAAUGCAUAAAAUGAAUUUCACACUUGUGCACCGAGUUUUUGUGUGAGGGUAACUAGUGAAAGCUCCUUGGGGGUGGACUACGGUACAGACUGUUUUAUACCAGGGCAUUGUCUUUUAGCAGUACUGUCUCAAAGUCUACUUUUACAGCUAUUAUUUAUGGAGAUUGAAAAAAUUGCAGAAUAUGUUAGUAAAAUGAUGCAUGGUAAAAUAUUCUUGUACAAGAUUAAUAAGAAAAAAAAUGGAGAUAAGCCAGUGAAAGCAGCUGCUUAUGCAAAUAUUUGUUCUAUUGACUUUCAGGAAACUAGAGUGAAAAAUUAUCCAUGACUGCACGUGCUGUUCUGUGCUAACUGCAAGGUAUAUUUCACAUCAGUUUUGGGAGAAGUUUUAAAGCUAAUCAAUGAUGUUGUCUUAACAAAAAGUCCAUCUUCUUCUUAAUUUGUGACAGAGUAAGAAGGGAUUCUGGUUAGAAUAAUUAAGUCAUGUAUGGGUCUUACAUAAAAAGCUCCACCAAGUCAGCCAUAAAUCUGAGUCCUGAAAACUUACAGACAUCAAAAGACAAAGAAGUUUAUUUGUGAUACAGUUAAUUCCAAGACACUAAUCACCCACCAAUGUGGUUUCAGAUAGCAAAUUGUUUUCUAUGUAAUAGGAAGAAAAAUUAGCAUUCAAUAUCAAAACCAUGUUUUAAAAAAAGUGUAUUUUUUGUACAAGUUGAUCUCAUCUGUGGUACCGUUUGAUCUAUAUAAUAAAUGAAUGCAUUAUAAUUCUCAGUACUUAAAACAGUAAAAUAUAUUAUUUUACAAAAUUAUACUAAAUUGUUCAUAAUUGUGCUUCUUUGCAGUCAAGGUAAAUAUUCAUUUAAUUGUUUCCCUUUUAAAUAUUCAUUUAAUUGUUUUCUUUUUAAAAUGGACUUGUCAAGUUUUUUUAAGUGCGGUUCCUUCAAGAAAUGAUAGAUGGUAACAACUCAUACUGCCCUAAAUAAGUUGAUUUUUGCGUUAUGAAUGCAUGGCGUGCACAUUGCAAAAAUUGUAAUGAAUAGAAUCCAUGUGCCAGUUUUAAAACUCUUGAUUUCUGGAGUCUCAUUAUAUAGUUGACAGUCUGCAGUGCUGAAAUGAUCAGAUAGUGGAGUGAAUGGCAUAGUGAUAGUAUGUGUCACUUAUGUCAUGCUGGCACAGCUUCACUUGCCAGAGAGGGAAAGCAAUUUUCAAGGCUAUAUAGAGGAAGAGUCAGAAGAAACACUGAGUGAGUAAGAGCAUUGUCACUUGCUGGAGUUGAUUCCACAGAGAUGCACCAGAAGGGACAGGCUCCUGGUAAAGUAACAGAUUAGAAAAUUCGCACUCCUGGACUACUUUGUCUUGUGGACUUGUUGCAUGUAUUCAAGAGCCAUUCUAACCAAAAGACUUUGAUGUUCUAGAGUAGCAACCUUUAUUAGAAAAUAAAGUUGGACCAUGGAUCUGUUCUGUUAUUUUUUUACCAUGAAGCUCAUCUUGCAUUAUUGAAAAAUCUUAAAACUUUUUAUGAAUAAAUGAAUAAAUGAAUAACCUUUUUUAAGUAUAACGUAUGUGACCUCACCUCAGGAAAUAUAGACAGUAUUAUUCUAACUACCUGAGGUCCUCAGCCUCCAUUCAGAAUCAUGGUAUUGUGGCCAUAUUCCGUACUGCACGUGCUUCAUUCAGUCUACAGUGCAGCAAUAACUAGUCCAUUGUACUUGAACUUGUGUUUAUUUCCAAAACUGAGUAACACUGUCAGUGAAAGUAUAUGAGUAAAACUAAUCACAGUGGCAGUGAUAGCUCCAAAGGAAUAGAUAUAAAAACCUGGUCAGCAAGAACUGCAGGCUUGAGGAGUCUGACAAUAGCAGGACUAGGGGAAAUGGAUCCAAGUUGAAGGAGGGAAGAUUUAGGUUGGAUGUUAGGGGGAAGUUCUUUACUAGGAGAGUGGUUAGGCCCUGGAACGGGCUGCCCAGGGAGGUUGUGGAUGCCCCGUCCUUGGACGUGUUCAAGGCCAGGUUGGACGGGGUCCUGGGCAACCUGAUCUGAAUGUGUAUGUUUGGUGGCCCUGCUAGGCAGGGGGGUUGGAACUACAUGAUCCUUGAGGUCUCUUUCAACCUGGGUGAUUCUGUGAUUCUGUGAUCUGAGUCUGUGUCUUCCUGCAACUAGGGAUCCUGGUUGUAGCAGGGACUGAGAUGAGCUUCAGGAAUUUACUAAAGGAACCAACUUACUGUUAAAAUUAAUGUAAUGAACAUGCAUGAGUGCACUGUGUAAAAAGACUUGACAUUUUAUCACGAGAAUAUCAUGAGAAGGAAGAAUAUGGGCCAAUUAGGAAGAGAAGUCUUAAAAAGCUUUUGAUAUUGUAUUGUAUUGACUUGCAGAAGGACUAAAUAAGGUCCAACACUGGACAUCAUUGUUAUCUGUACAACCUAUUCAGUACAUUUCCUUUCUUUUGUGAGGAAAAAAAAACAAACUUAUUUUCUUCAAAAAUAUAACCUGAAUUUUUGUAAUCCUUUUGAACUUCAGUUAAUGACCUCAGAAUGGAAGAAGAUUAAGUUGUUUUGGGAAAAGAUCAUAUAGGUCUUACCUUAGAGUAGCUCCAUCUUGUAUGACAAAGAACACUUAGGAUUCACAAUGGUAUAGUUCAUCUGUAGAUGCAUUUUAUCAAGGUAGGAAAAAAAUUUAUCACAAUUUAUCACACCACAAUCACAAUUUUUUUAACAAAAAAAAGUUGUUUACCAAAAUUACAGCACCUGUCUAAAAUUAGAUGUGUCUAAAGAAUGAAGACUAUAUUAAUAUCUAUUUCAAGUAAUCCUCUGUUGUCAGUAUACUAACCAAAGUACAAAAAAGACCUAAGCUAAUAAUCACAGCAAAAACAGAGCAAUAUUUGAAUGCUGAACAGAAAAAUAAGACUUCUGUAUUCUGAAGUUUUCUGUUCUACUAUAAAUAUAGAUGCAUUUUGUGACCUCCAUGCAGAUAGUAGAACCCUAGUUCUAAUUAGUUCCCGGUUAAACAAAGGAUAUCUCAUGUUACCCAUCUUACUGUGUUGUCCUAUGAAGAUAGAAAAGAUACGCAGGUAACUUUCUUAGACUAAUUACUGUUUCAAAGGCAAUCAACAUCUGCCACUCUGUUGUUAGAUAAUUACAUUUUUCCAGUCAUUAGUACUGCUCAUUGAGACCUGACUGAAUGCCCUUUAAAACCAUUAAGCCUUUUUAAAUUUUUUCUAAGUUUUUUCUUUGUUUCUGUAGAUAAGAUGCUAACAUUCAUGUGGAGACAUUAAGGAAAUGGUUCCCCCAAUAGAUUUUCUGAUCUAUGUGGUUGUUAGACAAAUGAUGAGUUUCGCUCAAGAAUGUGCUCAUAUCUUCUAGUGAAGUCUUGCUGUAUGCUGUAUAUUUUUUCAAAAGCAAUGGAAUCUAAAGUUGGACUUUGGUUCCCAGUACAAUUACAAGAAACAUUUUCUGAGAUUUCACGAUCUCUGGUUGAUGAUGCCGUUUAUUCUAUAACUCAGUAGAACAUUUUAAAAUUAGUAUGAAUCUCAAUAAUGCAAAUCUGGAAUAAAGUUUUCUUUCUCAAUAGGAAGCAAUCUCCAGUAACUUUUGUAUAAUAAAAGCUGAUUUCUUAAUUUCUGCUAAAAGUGUGUAUUGCUUUCAAGGUUUGUUUGUUUCGACAGGUUUUUUGUUGGUUGGUUUUGUGUUGUUGAGUUUUUUGCUUAUAUAAAACAUAGUAAGAUGCUCUCUUUAAUACUCACUGAAAUAUAUAAAUGCUUUCUUUUCUAAAGCAAUUGAUUUAUCUUUGAAGUUUAUGAUAUUUUACCAUAGAAUAACAAGAUUUCUUGAGAAAGCAUUUUUCAAGCUUCAGGCCUAUGUAUCAGAAAAAAGUUUUGUAAGAGGAAGAUCACACCAGUGCUAUAUCAAUAUAGGACACAUAUUCACACAUCAAAAGGAAAAAAGAAAGAAAUGGAUUGUGUAGUUGACUGUAAAUCCUGUGUGUUCCCAAAGAAGUUUUCAAGGUACUGUAUAGAAAUGGUGAAAACUUUCUGGUGUCUUUUAGCAACAUUUACAUGAAUGUUAAAAUAGGAUAAUGAAAAUGCUUUAGUGGUCUAAUAAGAGUUUAAUUAAUUUUGAAGAUGUUUUUUAUUUCUCCUUACUGCUUCUUUAUAGUUUCAAUUUAGUUGAGCUAUUGUUUCUUCUUAUUGUUUCAUACAGUGUUAUUAUAAUGUAUGAGAAUACCUGCUCAUAUCGUGUCUAGCACUGUUCUUGUCAUACUGGAUGCAUUAACUGGAUGACAUGACUUAACUCACUUAGUACCUUUGCUAUACAAUCUUGCAUUAUAGGACCUCCACAAUGCUACCACCAACUCAGAGCUUGUGAGUGAUGAAGUGCUGAGCUGCUUGUUUAUGCCAUUCUGGGUUUUUUUUCUUUCCCUUUGCAGAGUAAAUAGAACAAAAGUCCACGUAAUUUGCAUCUUUGGGGUUUUUGUUGUUUUCGGUUUUUUUGCAUUUGUUGCAAGUAGGUGAUCUUUAAUGUCUCUUGCCAACCAAAGACACUGAUUUUCUAUAUUCACUCAUUACUCCAUAUUCAUUGCUUAGCUAGUAACUCAUUUUAUUUCUUCUUGAACUUAUAACAGACCUGUAGAACCAUUUGAAAAAUUCAGUUGAAAAGUCUUUCACAAACAGCUUCUUUUUCCUUUUCUCCUUCUUUUCCACCCUCUUCUUCUCAGAACAGAGCUGAGAAGAUAAUUAAGGACAAUCUCAUUCAAAUGAAAUGUCAUAUUUUCUGUUAAUAUAACUUCAGUUUAAUAUCAUCACAGCAUUUAAACCAGUUGGCUUUUUUUUCCUUUAUUCUCUAUGGUAUUUUGAAUGUUAUGCAAGUUCUUAAUAUAUAUAUAUAUAUAUUAGAUUUUAUGAUUCAGAAAUACGAACAGAUGGGAAGAAUGCUCUAUUAGGAUAGACUUCAGUUAAGCAAAGUAGCUUUAUGACAGAGAACUCAAUCCUGCUGAUCUUAUUCAGGUUUCAUUCACAAAAAAUCCAUGCUGAUACCAAUAUGAACUUCUUAAUAUGAUACGUAGUAAAUUUUUUUAUCAUUUCAUUAUUUUCAAAUGAAGAGAGAUGUUUAAAGACUGAAUCAUGUUAUUCCAACCACUGCCUUAGUUAGCAGGUGGUGUGAAAUAGCGUUGUCUCAGGAAGAGCAAUUCAAGAUAUUGCACCUUUCCACAGUGCUGACAAGCCUAUGACCUGGUAGACCUUUGCCCCCUUUGUUUUCCUGCUUGUAAUUGUAGCUGCCACUGUGAAAUGGUGUUUGCAGUUCUGUGUCAGAGACACUUGUCCCGAAUGCCCUUUUCACUCCCAUGCAGGUAGAUGCAGUGUUAGAGGAGCCCUCUAUAUAUAGUCCAGGCUAAAAAUGCUGCACAAGAAGAAUGGAAGUGUUACAAUACCACCAGCAAGAUUAACUUUUUUUGCACCAGCACUACUUUUAUCAUGCACAAGAAAAAUACUUAAAGAUAUUUAUAUGGGGUUGUCAUUGAUUCCAUAUCUCAAAUUUGAAGCUAAGCUUGUCUGUCUAUGGCAGCUACCACUUUAUUUUCAUAGAGUAAGAACUGACAAAUAACUUUCUGAAGGAGGCACAAGGCUUUUCAUUACAUGGUCUUUAAUUGUAGUGUUGCUGAGCUUCUUUGCAGACAUAAGCCAAAACAGACUGCAUUGGAUUAUAGAGCCUUGUGAACCAUGUUCUUAAGGGACUCUGGUGCUCAGGUGAAAGAAAGGAAUGUGGCUAUCUAUGAUUGUAACACCAACAAUACUGCAUAGCUCUUAUAGAGAUUGAAUAGCACCUACAGAACUGAAAGAAACCGCUGGGAAGAACUCAAAAUACUCAUUAAAGUAAGUAAUCAUUUCAACCUCUGCCUUGAUAAUGGAGAGUUAGAUAAAAAGUGAAGCUGAAUGAUUUGGUUUCAGUCACUCAGCAGCUCAAAGAUAUAAAUUAUAAUAAAAUGUAAUUGGCAAAACAGCAGAUGAGGGUAGAAGAUGUACUAGAAAGUGAAACACAGGAUGUAUUCUGAGCUGACAUUUGUUUUGAGACCUGAACUCUCUAAUCUUGGUGGAGAAAUACCACCGUCAUCACUGGAAUCCCACUUAGUUUUUCUAGGCAAUGGUAUGAAACACUAGUCUAGUGUGUGAUGCUGUACACAUAUAAGCAUGCCAGACUUAAAUUGAAUAAGCUUGUUAGUAUCCUCUUGUCCAUUAUAGCUGUACUUUGCUAUAUCUGCAUUACCUCUUGCCAUGGUGAAUUAUUGAUGUUUUAUGUUUGAUGAACAAGAGAGAUGUAUCAUAAAACCGACAAGGAAUUGAGUCUCUGGAUACUAUCCAAUGCCUUCACUAUAUAGCUUUAAACACAACAGGAAUGGACCCUUAAGAUUAUUAAACUUUAUAGUGCAGGCAAUUCUACAAAUAGUAGCAGUUCUAUUUUAGACCACUUUAUGGAUAAUUUUGAGCUAAUUAGGUAUUUUUGUCUAUUUUGAAAGUUUUCUUAACUAGUUUGAUCAAGGUAAGAGAUCUAACUUAGUAAUACAGAGUCAACAACAACUACAAAAAGAAGCAAAACUGUAGGAAUAUAAUUAAUGAUUUACAAAAUAUAUUUAUAUAUUUUAUAUAUGCCAUCAUUUUCAUACCAGGUUCUUCAUAAAGGCUGAUUUAGAUGACUCUCUCAUUCACAGCUCUCCCUGUUUACACACAGAUUCCAAAAUGUACAACUUUAAAUGUGUAAUGCAUCCAUUUGACUCAAGAUGAAGGACUGGAAUAAAGUUAAGCGCAUAAAGGGAACAGCAUAUUGAAUAAUGAGGAUAGAAGAAAUAGUAAAUAGCUGUUCUUUCAGUGAGCUUUCUUACACACAAAAUCAAGCAGGGAAAAAAAAGAAAACCUAAUCCAUGAUAAAAAACUACACCAAACGUAUACAAAAUGUACACCAAAUGUAUAUAAAAAAAAAAGAGGAGAUUUUGCUGUCCCUUAGUUCGUAUUUACAUGACUUCAGAGUGGCUUACUUUAUUUAUUUUGCUAACCUGAUAGUUCUACCUACUUAAUACCUGCCAUUAUAGAAAAGUUAAUUGAAGGUUUUACACAAUUUCCAAGUUGUGUGUUCCUGCAAUUAGUAACAUGAAUUUAAUUUUGGUAGGGAAUAUAGAGUCCCAAAAAUUGCUUUUGUAGCUUUUAUGAAAAUUGUCUGGGGGAAAAUCAUGAGACAUCCAAAAAGUUACCUUUUGCCAACUCAGCUUUCAAUUUCCUACAAGAUGUACUAAAAUAACUCUGUUACCCAAACCCACUGAUUGGAAUUCAUUUUGUUCUUAUGAGAAGUUACUUUAGUGUGGUAGCUAGGGAGCUAUGAGGCAGAAUCAUCAACUAGCUUCAAGUACCUAGCUUUGGCCAUUAUAGGCACCUAGGGUACCAGUAUAUUCAGUGGUAUGAUCUUUGCUUACAGAAAAGAAAUCAGAGUACCUAACAAUCUUUACAUGUACCUUAUUUUCUCCAUUGGGUGGUUGAAGAGACUAAUAUAUCUAAAAAAUACUACCUUAUUCCACCUAAAUAUUCAAAUUAUCUCUUGAUCCACUGAUUUUAUUAGGAACUGGUUUUAGCUGGUUUCUCAUGGAUCUAAGUAUGUUAAUCUUAUCAAGAAGUUAAACGCAAACCAAGACUUUUUUAUAUAACUUUUUUAUAUAUAAAUUUAUAUAAUAUUUAUAUAUAAAAAUAUUGAAGGUAGCAUUUCGCAAAUUUGUUGUGUUGUAAAAAGAAGUUAUAUGAGAAAGGUGAGAGGGAAUGAUACCAUACUAUUUCCAUGCAAUAACAUCACAUACAUUGAAAACUAAUGCCAGCAUUUAUUUUAUUCCUUGUCCUCAUUUUUGCUCUAUUGUGCACAUUUAUUAAUUUAGUCACCCUAAGGAGAUGAUCAGUGCUCUUCCAUUCUACUUAUGAUUCUUUCAGGGCACAGGAAAUGUGUCAGAACUGUAUAUCAAAUUAAUUUCUGUUAUUGCUUUAUUAUAGAUUACACAGAAUGGCUUGGGUUGAAAGGAACCUCAGUGAUCACCUAGUUCCAACUCCCCUGCCACACCCCCUAUAUCAGCUUGACCAGGGCUCUAUCCAGUAUGGCCUUAAACAUCUCCAGGGAUGGGGCAUCCACAACCUCUUUGGGCAGCCUGUUCCAACACCUCACCACCCUUUCUAUGAAGAAGUUCCCCCAACAUCUAAUCUAAAUCUUCCCAGCUUUGACUUAUAACUAUUUCCCUUUGUCCAGUCACUCUCUACCUAUCUAAAAAGUAGCUUUUGCUCCUGUUUAUAAGCUCCCUCUAAACACUGGAAGGCCUCAAUGAUGUCUCCCCAGAGCUUUUUCCUUUCCAGGCUGAACAAACCCAGUUCCUUCAACCUAUCUUCAUAGGAGAGGUUCUCCGGACUUCUGAUAGUACUAGUGGCUCUCCUCUUGACCAACAGCAGACCAACAUGCAGACCAGCAGCUCUGCAUCUUUCUUGUGUGGGGAGCUCCAGGCCUGAACACAGUACUCCAAAUGGGACCUCACAAGGACAGAGAACCAGGGGAAAGUCACCUCCCUUUCCCUGCUGGUCACCACUCUUUUGAUGCAGAUCAGGAUAUUGUUGGCCUUCCAGGCUGCAAGUACUUACUGCCAUCUCAUGCUAUAUUUUUCAUCUAUCAGAACCCCCCCCAGGUCCUUUCCCAUAUACACAUCUGGGAUUUCCUCUGCCCAAGUGCAGCAACUUGCACUUGGCCUUGUUGAACAUGACUUGGCUCACAUGGGCCUACUUUUCAUGUUUGACCAGUUCUCUUUGGUGGCAUCCUUUCCUUCUGUCCCAUCAGUUGUGCCACUCAAUAGAGUGUCAUCAGGGUGACUGAUGAUGCACUCAAUCCCAUCAUCUAUAUAACAGAUGAAGGUGUUAAAGAGUACUGGUCCCAAGAUGGACCCAAGAGGGAUAACACUUGUUACUGGCCUCUGUCUGGACAUAGAGCCAUUCACCACAUCUCCCUGACUACAACCUUCCGACCAAUUUCUUAUCCACCAAAUAGUCCACCCUUCAAACCUAUGUGUCUGUAAUUUAGAUGUGGUGUGAGACCGUGUCAAAAAUCCAUCUCAUAGCUUGCAGAAUUUGUAAGGCCAUGUCUUUCUAGAGCUGUCCAUCAUCCAGACUAACCUCUUAUUACAGAGAUGUUGUGUGAAUCUACGUAAGUAGUUUAAGAUUAAUAUUAAUGUGAUAAAUUCUUUGUUCUUCACUGAGUAUGUAGCUAACUUAGUCUUUAUUUUCAGAGUUUUGGAGCUCUUAGGGAAGUACUGUACCUUUUGAAUGGUGCUCAAGGGACUGAAUGUGUUCAGCAUCAUUUGAAAUAAAUCAGUGGGAUUUGAAACACUGAGCCUCAGAUUGGGAGUUUCCCAAAGCCCUGCAUUAUGAAUUAUGAACCCACCAUUAGCACCCUUUCCAGCAUUUGUUGGCACUUAGACUCACAGCAAUCUUCCAGCCUAUCAGGUGAGCUGUGGUAUUUCUCUAUUUGUCUUUAGUCUAUAUUAGAAGUGAGAUAGUUUAGCUUGAAACUGAGGUAUUUUAUUUCAGUUUGAAAUAAAAGGAUUAUUUUAAACUUGUUCACCUAAGCUGUGCUAUUGGAAGAGAGCUCAUGUACAGAAGCAUAUGAUGCAUAUGAUAUCUGUCAUAUGUGCUGUCAUUCUGUGGUAAAGAAAGUAAAUAAUCUUUCUCACAGAAAUAACAUAAAAAUAAUCAAAAAUAAUCAAAAUAUAUUUGUAUGAUAUAGUGAACACAGAAGAAGCUUUAAAAAACGUCAAGUAUUCUGAGAAAUCCUCUCUUCUUGGUGUAACUUAACUCACUCAGAUGGUAACACUAAAAAUAUUUUGCUGAUUAUGGGAUGUUAGUGAGGUGGGGGUUUUUUGUUUGUUCUGUUCUCCGUUUGUUUAUCUUGAAAAAUUUUGGUAACUUCAUGAACUGUUUUGAACAUACAUUUUCAAUCCUAAUAAGGUUCAGUUACUGUAACAUUCUUACUACAAAUGAUGAACAAUGAAAACCUGUAGGAAAGCAAAUAAUCUUACACCAUAUUAUUAAAGUUGAAGACGGAUAAAAAUAUUUGUUUCAGCCUCAUAUCCUGCAAGUUAGGUCUUGUGUGGAAAAAUAUAGGAAGGAGUCUCAUGUCCUCAUGUACAUAUCCAAAGAACCUAAUAUAACUUUUCUUAAAAAAUGCAUCUAACAUUUCCUAAAUCUUCCAUCUUUAAUACUUAUUAUUAACACAGUUAAUUUUAUUUUAAUUGGUGAAUUCAUAAAACAUCAAGGUUCAUCUGCCUCCAUUUCUUUCUUCAUGUUUUCUGACAUUCUCAAUUUCUUCUAUUCCCCUUUCCAUUAUGCCGUGUUGUUUUCCAUUUUAUAGCCUUUUUACACCACUAAAGCACAUUUUUCAGACAAGGUCUGAACACAAUUUCCACAUUCCUUCUUGUAACAAUCUCAGUGAGGUAUUUUCUUGCAGGGACACCAGAGGCCUGUGCAGUGAGCAGUGUGCCUGGUUCUGUUUGUUAUGCAGAGCAAAGUAGACAUUGAGGAGCUGAGUAAAUAAAAGGCCUGGAAGGUUUUCACAAUUUCUAAGGACUUCUUGACCCUAAAAUGUCUGCAGAUGGAUACGACUUAUUUCAAAUAUUUUUUAUUCAAUCAAAACUCAUUUUGUAAUUAUGAGCAUCAUUCCCAAUGUUACAUUCAUUUUUCAGACACAUGGUGUGAGUCAACUAUAAAUGAAGAAUUAUGUCUUAUUUUUUUGUUCUUGUAUCCUCCUAUUUUUUGUUCCAAUUUUCACAGUUAGUUCAAAAUCUGGUCUAGCCCUUGUAACUUUACUCAUAUCUUGUAACUUACGUAAGCAAUUUUUACUUUGCCAAGUGUGUUUUCAUUCCUAUCUUUUGUGUUGUUUCUAUUUUGUUCAAUAUUACUGUGAACAGAAGCAAGGAAUAGUGACCCUUGAUUUUUGUAAAGUGGAUCCAUAAAUGUAGGUAUUUCUUUCUGUAUUUUCAUUGGGAUUUCACCUUUUGAUGGUUGGAUUAUGAGUCAAUGAGUAUAGUAAUUAUCGAUACCAAAAAAAUCCAUGAAAAUUUAUACUUUUUUAUAAGAAUUGAUGCAAAAACCCAAUCAAUAUAAACCUUUUUUUACCAAUCCAGGGGUGAAUUUUUGUACAAUAUUCUGUCAUCGUGAGGAAUUGUUGAUAAACACUACUAUACAUAAUAAAAUGUAAUAGGAAAAAAAAAAAGAAAAAUUAUCAUUGGUUCCUUGGGACUUUCUUUUAUUUUCCUUGUCAUUUUUAAUGCAUUUUCCUUAAAACAGCAUGUAAGUAUUAUAUUAAAAAAAUAUAGUAAACUGCAACAACAGUUGCAGUCAACAACAGUCUUAGAGUUGAUUCUAAAAACCAACUGCCUCAGAGUUGUGCAUUGUAUCUAAAUUUCUCCUUGAGAUUUCUUUUGUAUUCAAUGCAGGAAAGACAUUUGGGUAUAAAGGGUGAUUUAGCCCACCUUUAAAGAUGUGUCAAAAACAAAUGUAAUAAAAUGCACACCACUGUUUAGAAAAGGAGACCAGAUUACUAUCUUAGAUUAAGUGACUGGUUUUUGGAUAACUGAACGGGGGUAAAUUGAUCCCAAUUCUUAUAGUUAAACUUAUAAGGAAAAGAAUUUUUAAAUUUGAGAUAUGGGAGAUAAUUACAUUAUAAGCUGCAGAUUACUUAUAUCAUAUUAACUGUAUUUCUUUAAUUAAGUUGUGUACACAAGAUCUGACAUACAUGCUUGUCCUUGGAUCCUGAGUUAGAGUUUGGGUGAGCCUGUUCCAUGCCGAGUGCCCACUGGAGCAAGAAGUGUAGAAGAGCACAGCUUCAUGCACAAUAGCUUUACUGUGAUAGAAGGGAUUGUUAAAGACCUUCACUUCAAGCUUCCCACUCUCAGCAUUCAAUUAAUGAAAAUUGGCUUGUGGAAUUUCCCAAAACUUUUAUUUUAACUUCUAUGAACUUUGCCACUUUUUUCUUUUGGUAACUUUGUUCUAGAGGUGUUUAUUAAAUAAAUGGGAUUUUUUUAGUGAGAAGUAAAUCCUGUUGAUGACCCUCAACAAUUUUUUAUAGAUUAGAAACUCCCAUCUCCCUUUCAGCAUUGAAGACCAAUCUUUGUUUUCAGAAGUGCUCAGUAGCCUACAGCUUUCGCUAGCCUCAACCUCAGGAUGUCAAAAAGCAGGUGUCAUCACUGUGACACAAAUAUCACAAUAUCCUCAUGCAAAACACCUCUUGAGCCCCUUGGAUCUUUGUAUAGAUAUUGUGGAAAUUAGUAUUACAGACAGCUGAUGUUAAUAAAGGUCAGAGAAAUACUGAAGAUAUAUGUAUUAGAUUAAUAUUCCACUAAUAGCUUGAAGUGUAGCUAAGGGAGCCUAGUUUAUUUUUCUAACAGCAUCCUUAAAUAACGGGAUAUGUUGCUCUUCCUGUGCAGUAUAGUGAUGAUCUAUGGAAAAAGGUAUGGAAAAAGGUAAGCAAAUAAGAGGAUGAAUUGUAUAACUGCAUGCAUUUUUCUGAAAGUAGACAGAAUGAAAUGUGGAGGAUGUUCAGCUUGAAGCUAAUAGAUUUAAGACAUGGUAGACCAUAUUAAUAAUAAAUAUAUCAAAUUGCUGUUUAACAGUAGAUCUUACUAGUGAGUUCUGCAGCUACCUUUGUAAUCACUCCAUAGCAUGUAAAAUCAAGUGGGUGAUCACUCCUUGUAACACUGAUACAGUGUUAAUAAAUGCUUAGUUAGGAUUUAAUAUAGCCUGUAGGUUGUGCCUUGAACUCUCCUUACUGUCAAAGUUGAAUAUGACUUUUAACAUCUCUUGACCUGUCUACCUGACUCCACUCAACAUUAGAAUGAGGUUAAAUACAUUCUCCUUUACUAUAUCUAGGAUGACCACACAACAAGUUGUGUUCUUCUAACAUGAAACAGGCUUUUAUCACUGAGGUCCACACUGCACAUCACCGGAAGUAACAUAAUUAUGUAAAAGGAUAUAUUACUAAAAGGAGAUAUGUGUAUCAAGCUUCCCAGGACAUUUGAAUUAUAUUUAAUGAAGUUAUAUGACAUUGAAAGAGCAAUUCAGUGUUUUAUGCAUGUGGCUGUGGUGGCUGUGCUCUUCCACAGCACUAGCUGUUGAGAAUUACAAUCAUAACGUCUGUAGGUUUAAUUCAGGAGUUUUCCAUCAACUGUUGCUUCCACACUGGCUUCCCUUCUGGCCUUGAGAUCAAUUUACAUGCUGAGGAUUCAGCAUUUUGUCCUUCAGUAGGCAGAAAUGCUUUCAUCUUAUUCUUCCCUCUGGACCAGAGAGGAAGUGCAGUCUGAGUACAUACGGACCAAUUGCACAAGUCUAACAGAAACACAGGCAGCCUUAUUCAAAUAUGUUGUUAUUGGAUUAAGAAAAAAGUAAAAUAGUAGCACGUGAAAAAUAAAAGUAGCUCUGUCACCAUCGUGGGUGACAGACAACCCUUGGGGGGUUGGACACGAUGAUCUCUGGAGGUCCCUUCCGACCCCUACAAUUCUGUGUGAUUCUGUGUGAAUAUUCCUAACCGUUCAGUAACACCAUGAGAGGCCUGUAUUCACUACAAAUAAUAAAACCGUAGCAUUAAACUAAUCAAAUUGAAAUCUGUUCAACAGCAUAAUUUCAGUGAAGAGAUACUUAUGAAACACAAAAUGAACUCCAAAAUGAAAGGCUCAUUGCUUCAUAAUCAAAAGCAGUCAGCUUUAAACAUCAGCCUGUUAGGUGAUAAGUUUGUCAUUUCUCACCUGCAGUCUCAGAGAGAAUUUGCCUAAAAGGCUUGACAGACUUUAGACUUCACAGAGCAUUUUUGCCCAUUGAUAGCCCUCAUUUUGAUAUACUAGAAAUACUGGAAGGGUGGGAGGAGAGGCUGGGUAACAGUAGUUCUAUUAAAAUAUUUUUGCAUCAACAAAGUAGGGUUUAUGGUGUGAAAAAAUAUAUAGGCUCUGAAAAGAAACUCCCACCACCCAUCAGGAUUGAUUCUUUCCUGUCUAACUGUCUGGCUACUUUGGGAGAGUGAGUAUCAGUGAUUAAUUGUUGAGGAUUCAGGGAUGUACAGGCAUGCAAUACAUCAUUAAAGCUAGAGGUCAGGUAGGCUGAAUUAAAAUGGGAAGUUCUGAAUGAAUAUAUUAUUUCUAUAUUCAAUUAACAGCAGAAAUCAGAAAUCAUUGGCUUUUGUAAAUUAGAACAAUGGCAGCUCUCCAGUGAAAACAUUUAUAGUGGUUUUACAUUGCUCUCUACAGGCAGUGUGCAAAAGGGAGAGGCACAAAUUAAUAUGCAGUAAGACAGUAACAGAGAAACCUGUCUUUGAACUCUUCUUUCCUUUUAAUCAGCAUGAGUUCUGCUAAAUAGAAAGAAUUAUGAGUAGGUGGAGAGCAUCUAGGUUACUGAGGGUAAAUCACUCUCGAAGGAAUAACUUUGCAGUUUGAGCAAUGGAGUCUGACCUUUACAUGACUUGAGAUGAACAGGUCUUUUCUGCUUUAACCCAGCAUGAGUAGCAAUUGCAAGGCAGCUAACCUGAAGUCACACAACUGUCUUUUCCUACAUGAAAGUCUCUUUUGGCAGUUAUACCAUUGUCCUGGAUGAAUUCUCUAAUGCUGACUAAUGUCUUUUAUUUCACACCCUCAAAUGGGGGAUUCUGUUGGUAUUUUAGUAAUGUCUGAUAUCAGUGGAAGUCCCAUUAAGUUUCCAAGGUUUUUAAAUUGCUACUUGGAGUUUAUUUGUCUUGUAACUCAGGUUAUAAAAGUAGCACCAUAAACAUUAAUUGAACAACCAUUAAGCAGCAUGGCUGUUUGUUUUGGGUUGAUAGAGGACAUAAAGCUUCAUACCCUGUGGUGGAAAACAAUUAGAUCUGAUGAUGAACAUGCUAUUAAAUAAACCAUUACCAGACUUCUAUCAUUUUAACUUUAGAAAAUAGCAACCAGCUGUGGCUGAAUCAUAUGCAAGUGAUAGAAAGUUGUAUUUUAAUUGUCAUGUCAUAGCCUGUUAUAAAUAUUGUAGUUUUUAAUGUUUUGUGGUAAUGACAGUGACUAAUAGUAGUCAUUAUCUCCAUUCAUUCUCAUAAAAAAUUUCUUCAAGAGAGGCUGAUCAUAGCCAGAAUGCCAUUUAAAAUUAAACUUUGUUUUCCUAAAAUAGAGAACAUAAAGAACGUUUAAAUACCAAGAGGCUGGCUAGCUAAUUUAUUUUGUUUUGAGCAUGUUUGACAACUACAGCUGUUGUAAACUGUGUCAGGGGGUGAACUGAUAUUUCUUUCAAAAGUAUUUUUGGCACAAUAAUGUGUAUGCAUGUCACAUCUUCAUGUGCUCUCUGUAGCAUGGGAUAAAAGGUGAACUUCACAGUGGGAUACCUGUGGCCAGAAAAAAGUAUGCUGCUGCCCCUAUAGAACCAUAAUAUUAAUAACAUUAAAUGUCUUCAUCCAUUUCUUAUUUCAGUAAUGCAUUCUGCUUACUUGACAGGUACAGAGUACUUCAUUAUGUGCACGAACAGAAAUGCUUAAAUGGAUGAAGCAGCUAUUUACGUAUGAUAGGAGCUAAGUGGGACAUUAAAUUAAUGCCAAACAAUUACAGGUUGUUUUACAAAUCUCAGGAUCUGGAAGACAGAAAACUUUAUCUUCUAAAUGCCUAUCUGUAUUCACAGAGUUUCAUCAGCUAAAGGAAAGCCAGUUUUAAUCUUAGGUUUUGAACAUGUUAAUAUUGGUUUGCAAUUUUUCCAGUAAGCAAUGAUAUGAUUUAAUAAAGUGGUUGUCUUUUAAAAAGUCCGUGUUCACAAAAAAGAGGUUUAAUUUCUUCCUUUGAGAUAUGAAACUUUUUUAUUGAAUAUCAGUGUAUAUGUUAUUUAUUCAAUAAAUUUGGUAUCUGUCUUCUAAUCAAGAUAAUGAAUUUAAAAUCUUUUUAGUACAAGAAACAUUUUAGAAAAUUAUUUUCAUUGCUUGAAAUACGACAGAAGUCUAAGAGCUUCAUAUUUGUUCAGUGAUAUACUGCCAUGACUAUUAGACACCUUGAAAUGUACUGCAAGUGAUGAAAGAACAGCACAUUUUUUGCUUUGCAGUGUCAGACCACUGAUGCAGAUGUUGAAGAUCAGUAUACCCAAUGAAGUCAGCAUCCUAAAAGUGUACUAUGGCUUCAGCAUCACUUCUUUUGAGGUGCUUGAAAUAAAGAUGUAGAGAAUAAAUCGGAUUAGUUAUGCCUGCUAAUUAAAGAUAAAUCACAGAAUCACAAUUCUGUGAUUCUGUGAUUCUGUGAUUUAUCUUUAAUUAGCAGGCAUAACUUUUCUGUAUAAUACUUUUCAUUUGAUCUAUGCAUGUAUAAUAUAUUUUGUUGCUGUUAAAAAAAAAAAAAAAGUCAAUAUUAUCUGAGCUUGUAAGGAAAAGACUAGAUACAUAAACAAGAUUGUGCACUGGUAGAAGAGAAGAAUAUACCUGAAUUAUGUAGAGGAAUAGAUAUGGAUGAGGAGGAGGAGAAGAGAGAUCACAAGUCACUAACUAUGGCUGUAUGUUUCAUGUCUCUGUAUAGUGUGUUUAAUGCUAUUGAUAACUACUGUAGCUUUUUUUACUAGGUACGAGCUUCAUCAGAGGUGCCUUUGUUUGUUCUUAACAUCUGAAGUGAUCACUGAAUUUCGCAUCUCUAGGAAGUUAUCACUCCUGUAGAAGCAAACAGAUGUUUCUAAAGCUUUCUAGUGAAUCACUAAGCCAAUGGCUUUUAUUCAGACCUUAUGGAUCCCAGAAGGUGAACCCAUAAUCAAGUCUUUAUUGGCGACUUCUUGACAAGACCAGCUCCAGCCACUGUUCCUUGCCUCAUACAAGGUGUUCUGGAAUGGCUUUCCUUCAGCCCCACAGCAGGACAAGCAACCAAGUGCUCCAGAGAGCCAAGUGAAUUGUUACCUGUCACAGCAUCCCAAUGUUCAUCUCUUAAUACUUGUGGGUGUGAUACAAACCACCUAAAAGAGAUUAACUGUGUCUUUCACUGCCCAGACUAGACUGUUUCCUGUGUUCCAUCAGUGCAGUUCUGCUGCUGCACAUUUUGGUUUGGUUAGCAGACCUUUAAUCAAGAAAAAAAAAAAUCUAAUGAGCAGCAAUUUGAAAUACAGCAUUUGGAAAGGUCAAAAUGGUACAUUACAUCCUUAUUAUCCAAAAGAACAGAUGAGUUUAAUAUCCUGACAGCAUUUUCCUGUGAAGAAGAUAUUAAACAAGAACUGAAAAUGGCACAAGGUUCCCUCUUUCUGUCUUUUGACAAAGAUUGUAACAAGAUGAUGAAAUUGUAUAGAAUAAAUCUCAUCCUGCUUUAAUGUUCAGGCUGGGGAUCUUGCCUAGAUUUCAAACAUCUAAGCUAAUUAAAGAGACAAAAUAUAUGUUAUUUUUUUCAGGUAUACCCACAUGGAGCAGAAGACUUUUACCAUACAUUUUCCUAAUUACAUGACCCAGUUUCCAUCAAUAUUUUCUACAUUUAAAAAUAGGAAUAGUUGCUAACAGAAGGUAUGUAAUGCAUCUAAUUUCAAGAAGUAGAGCAUUGAACUGCAACAGAUAAUGCUCUGCAUCAGAAUGGCUUAAAAUGUAAAUUUUUCAGCUUCCUUUUGAAAGACUGCAUAACACAAAGAAUUAAUUCCAACACACGAUGCAUUGUAUGUAUUCUGCUCUGGCGAGUCCCUGACAAUGUGGAACUAUUUGAAGGCAAAGGAAUUUGCACUAUAUCCCAUUGAUUGUUUGCAAUUCAAUUAAGAUAUGGAACUGUCACAAUUUGUUGUCUUAAAUCUUGUUAAAUUGGCCCUCAUGUUAAAUCUUAUUAUUACAGUCGAAAAAAUGCUGUGCUUAAAAAUCAAAACAUGAAUAUACAACAUGCACCUUUAUUAUUAUGACAUGCACUUGUAUUCAUUCCACAUGAGACAUGAGAAAUCUGCUGUUACAUAAGAGCAUAACAAGUUAUAUAAUAAAAGCAUUCAUGAUUAUUAAAGAGAAACAAAUUAUAUGAUUCCAAAAGGUACACAUCUUCAAGUAUAGCUGUCUGAAGUAGAUGUACAUGGCUUUGAAGAACUCAUAAGUAGAAAUCAUAUGGAACCUCUUUUUUCUUCACCAUCUAGAGAAUAUAUCUGAAAAAAUAUCUCCGUGGUACUUUAUGUGCAGUAACUUGCUGAGAAAACCCAUUCUGCUCUGGCCAAGUGAGAGAAGAUGAACAUGGACCAAAUAUGUUUUCCAAGCCUUGAAUGAAAAAAAGUUUUUUGUUUUUGUUUUCUUAGGUGGUCUUAUUUUCCACUGGAAACUGUAGAUACAUCCCUUGUUUUGCAACUGAAAUGCAGAAUAGCUUUUUGAAUGCAUUGGUAAUGUGUGACCAGUUUCGAAACUUCAGAAGUUUUGCAAAACUACAGAAAAGAAGAUCCCUAAAGGGUGCUAAUUUCCAUAGGCAUUUAUGAAAUGAAUGUUUUCCAUGUGUCUAGAAGAAAUCCACUGAAUAACAUUUAAAGUUUAUAAAGAGUUCAUUGUGAUUUAGUUAAUAGCUCCUGAAACUAAAAUGACAAGUAGCUCUUUUUUGCUUCCAAACCAGAAAUAUGAACAGGUUAUGAAGCCUCCAGAAAACAAUAAGCAAAACUGUUUUUCAGUGAAUUAUUGUUCACAGUUCAGAUCCAUGGAUUUUUACCACGUGAAUUACAAAGAAAUUGGGCCAUAUACAAUUCUGCUAUUAAGAAAUAAAAUACAUGCUGUUGUUACCCAAUUUUUAAAAAUCAGUUAUAGAAUGACUGAGUAGAGAACCCAGGGUACUGAGGGGAGUCUGAGCAUGUAAUGGCACAAACAACUCCAACAGUUCUUAGAGAGAGAGUACCAAGUAUCUAUAGAAGCCAGUGGCAUUUCUUACACUUUUUUUCAGUUUUCCCCUGAUUAUGCAAAAUGCUGUUACCGUGUCACACACUAUUUAACGUGGGAACUACCUUGAAUACAUUAGGCAGCUUUAUUUAGUUAUUUCAUGAAAUAGAUUUUUUCCAGUAGGUGAUCACAGUAAUUCUGUUUUGAAAAAUUACCAAAAUAAUCAACUGUACCUUGUGAACCAAUAUACCAGUUUGCAAUGAACUUUCAAGAGGUACCUACUUCCCUCAUUUACCUUCAAUAAAUCAGAUUAUGAUUGGGCAUUGCUGUGAAAUCUUUCACUAAUGAAGGAAGGAAGUUAACAAUAAAAUCUGAAUGUAAAAUGUUGGACCUGUGAAACCAUGAGUCACAUCUCAAAGCAAGGAAUAUUCCUUAAAUUAAUGGCAGAUUGAAAAUAAUAAUUCAGCUGAUGGAAAAUGUUUCAUAUUGAAGUAAGGUCCUAAAAGAGAGAAGUCAAAACACAGCUGACCAUGUGCAGCACACACAUUCCCACACAGAUGGCUUUGCACCAGGAGGAGCUGGUUUAUUGUAAUCCCUCUAAGAAAAGUAUCAUGAAGUAUUAGUUAAAAUACAAUUUACUGCAGCUGAUACUGUACAGAAAAUGAGUGCAUUACAUGUAGCCGUUUGUUCCUUUGGAUACUGGGAACUUCAUGAUGGGCCUCCAAGUAGGGCACAGCAUCCUGUGUAGAACUUCUGCAUAGAAAAAUUACCCAGUAUUCUAGUCUUUUGAGUACUUCUAGGGCUUUUCUAAAAGAAAAUAAUUCUGCUUACCAGUUCUACUGUCAAACAAAAAAGAUAUGUGUGUGGGAAUUUGUAACUGCUAUUUCACAUAAAGGCAAGGACAAGCAGGUGAUGCAAUUGACAGUACCAAGUGGGAGCUGCCCAUAGGCUGCUUUGUUAUCUGGUAAGGUCUGUCCUGCAAAGAGCAUAUGCACCACCCAUAACACAGACUUGAAGGUUGUUCUCAGUGUGGAAUAUAGUGCAGAUCUGCCUCUGCAGAGGGAAAUUGCUAUGUGGAUCACUAAUUCCUCCAUGUUUGAUGGUCUUCAGGUCUGGAUCACUGCACAUAUAUGCAUACAUCCCUGUUUUAUGUCUGCAUCCUUUUGUGCUCCAUAGCGAUACGCUGUAUUCAAAUGUACCCACAUUCAAAAUCUGCACGUCUAUUGCAAACACUCCUUUGUACAUGACUCUGUCCAUCAAGCUGGAAUUGUGCAGGAAGUCAGAUGGGCUUAUUAUUACACAGCUUGGCUUAAAAUCUGGUUAUAUUUGCAUUUGAGUUUAUUUUGUCACACAGUGCUACUUGAUAUUAUAUGAAUAAAUCAUCUAUAAGCUAGAAAACACAUCAAAAUCAAGGGAACAAAGUCAGUUGCAUUAUUAAAGAGAGAAAAUAAUUUGACAUGAAAGGCAUUUUAGAGACAAUACAGCCUGUCUGAUUUACUAAUGUGCACAGAAGUUAAUAUAUCAUUCAGCCUUGCUACCACCUGACAGCUAUUCUGCAUCUGAUGGGAAAUGUGAUUGUGCUCGUAGUCCAGUUCAUAGUGGACAGGUGUUGACAUCACAAAAAUCAUCAUUAGAAAUGGCACUAAUUGGCACCUUUGUUGACAACCUCAGCAGAGAGGCCAGUGAUUGAAUCAGCAUAGAGGCUGUUUUGCAAGCUCUGCUGGUGAGGGAUACUGGGCUCAGCUCUUCCUUCUCUGAAAUCAUCCUGAGUUUUGCACAUACUUCAGGUCCUGAUUAUAUUUGCCUGUAAAUUCUAUGUGCAUGCACACUGCCAUGGCAUACACCUUGAAGUGAUGCCCCCAUACAUAGUGGGCACUGAAACCUGCCCUCCAAAUUUGGCCAACAUAAGAGACCAGGGACUUAUGCUUGUGAGGAAACAGGACCAAAGCAGAUGGAACCAAAGACUGUGGCUGCUGCAGUCACAUAUUAUCCACUCAGGGCUCCAUUUCACUCAGGCUUUUAUCUAUUUUAGUUUAUUUUAGAUGGAACUGUGGGUUGGUGGACUUCUACUGGCCACUUUAGUCCUCCAUGCCUCAGUUUAUUCUUUCAUAUGAGGGUCACAAUGUUUGUCUCAGUCUCAGGUAUAGUUAGGUGUUGCUAAUUAAAGAAUGCAGUGAAGAAUUUUAACAGGUUUGAUGGAAGUCAGUAGACACAUUAAAACUCAGGCUUCACUUUUAUAGGAACACUGCUUUCUUUACAAUGCACUUGAAUUGUAGGCAGUUACUAUUGCAUGCAUCCUUUUUGCAUUUAGCCAUCUUUCCAUUCGCUCUGUUGAAUAUUAAGGUUUUUAUUCCUCUUAGCCUGGAUUGUUCAAAUUAGUGCUUAAAACUAAUUUUUCUUUGGUAUACAGAAACCUAUAUUAUUUGUGGGUUAAUUAUCUCUUUUUUUAGCUCUGGAGAAAUGCAAUGUAGGUCAAUAAUGUGACUGUAAGAUUUGAGAACAUUGUUGUGGUAAUAAAAAGAAGUAAAAAAUG